rnacentral:lncRNA from 1 species
AUUUGGCUUUAUUGUUUUAGGCAAUAAGGUUUAUAUUUUAUUGUGCCACACUUCUUUUAUUUUUUAUUUUUUAUUUUCCCAGAAGAUUGGCUCAGCUGACACAGAGUUUGAUGAGAGAUUUCCAAGACAGAAUCAGAGAUCCUUUCAAGUGGUUUAGAGAAAACUUGUUUCUCUGCACUCAAGAAAUGCUUACCAUCUCUUAAAGGGGUGAACAUCUGUAAUGCUGAUGCUUGGUGGGCUGAGGCAGGAGAGUUACUGUGAGUUUAAGGUCUUAGAAGUAAGUAAGGCUGGAAGACCUUACCAAGCUGCAA